rnacentral:rRNA from 1 species
UACAGAGGUCUCAAGCGUUGUUCGGAUUCAUUGGGCGUAAAGGGUGCGUAGGUGGCGCCGUAAGUCGGGUGUGAAAUUUCGGAGCUUAACUCCGAAACUGCAUUCGAUACUGCGGUGCUUGAGGACUGGAGAGGAGACUGGAAUUCAUGGUGUAGCAGUGAAAUGCGUAUAGAUCGGGAGGAACACCAGUGGCGAAGGCGGCUACCUGGACCAGCACUGACACUGAGGCACGAAAGCGUGGGGAGCAAACAGG